rnacentral:rRNA from 1 species
GACGAACGCUGGCGGCGUGCUUAACACAUGCAAGUGGAGCGACGAACCAGGCUUCGGCCUGGGGCAGAGCCGCGAACGGGUGAGUAACACGUGGGUAACCUGCCUCGAUGACCGGGACAACCCGAGGAAACCCGGGCUAAUACCGGAUGUGCUCCUUCACAUCAGUGAAGACAGGAAAGGAAGCUUCGGCCUCCGCAUCGAGAUGGGCCCGCGGCCCAUUAGCUUGUUGGUGAGGAACGGCUCACCAAGGCUGCGAUGGGUAGCUGGUCUGAGAGGACGAUCAGCCACACUGGGACUGAGACACGGCCCAGACUCCUACGGGAGGCAGCAGUGGGGAAUCUUGCGCAAUGCGCGAAAGCGUGACGCAGCAACGCCGCGUGGGGGAA